CUAGCUGUAAACGAUGGUUACUAGGUGUGGGUGGGUUCAAACCAUCCGUGCCGGAGCUAACGCAAUAAGUAACCCACCUGGGGAGUACGGCCGCAAGGCUGAAACUCAAAGGAAUUGACGGGGGCCCGCACAAGCGGUGGAGCAUGUGGUUUAAUUCGAAGCAACGCGAAGAACCUUACCAGGCCUUGACAUAUAGGUGGUAGAGACCUGAAAAGUGAUCGACCUAUUGGAAACAUUAGGAGCCUAUACAGGUGG
rnacentral:rRNA from 1 species